rnacentral:rRNA from 1 species
UCAGGACGAACGCUGGCGGCGUGCCUAAUACAUGCAAGUCGAACGGUCUUUCUAUGGAAGCUUGCUUCCACUGAGAAGAUAGUGGCGAACGGGUGAGUAACACGUGGGUAACCUGCCCAUAAGAGGGGGGAUAACAUCCGGAAACGGGUGCUAAUACCGCAUAGUUUCUUGAUUGCAUGAUUGAGAAAGGAAAGACGGCCUUUGUGCUGUCGCUUAUGGAUGGACCCGCGGCGUAGUUAGUUAGUUGGUGAGGUAACGGCUCACCAAGACGAUGAUACGUAGCCGACCUGAGAGGGUGAUCGGCCACAUUGGGACUGAGACACGGCCCAAACUCCUACGGGAGGCAGCAGUAGGGAAUCUUCCGCAAUGGACGAAAGUCUGACGGAGCAACGCCGCGUGAGUGAAAGAAGGUUUUCGGAUCGUAAAACUCUGUUGUCAGAGAAGAACAAGUUGGAGAGUAACUGCUCCAGCCUUGACGGUAUCUGACCAGAAAGCCACGGCUAACUACGUGCCAGCCGCCGC